GUUAGGGUUAGGGUUAGGGUUGGAGUUAGGGUUAGUGUUGGAGCUAGGGUUAGGGUUGGGCUUGGAGCUAGGAUUUUUCUGAGUGCAAUGAACCAACUCCCGAGUCUCUAGGACGUUCCUAAAAAAAUUUGAUUUUUUCCCAUAGUAAUGCAUGGGUUAGGGUUAGGGUUAGGGUUGGAGCUAGGGUUAGGGUUAGGGUUAGGGUUGGAGUUAGGGUUAGUGUUGGAGCUAGGGUUAGGGUUGGGCUUGGAGCUAGGAUUUUUCUGAGUGCACUGAACCAACUCCCGAGUCUCUAGGACGUUCCUAAAAAAAUUUGAUUUUUUCCCAUAGGAAUGCAUGGGUUAGGGUUAGGGUUAGGGUUGGAGCUAGGGUUAGGGUUAGGGUUAGGGUUAGGGUUGGAGUUAGGGUUAGUGUUGGAGCUAGGGUUAGGGUUGGGCUUGGAGCUAGGAUUUUUCUGAGUGCACUGAACCAACUCCCGAGUCUCUAGGACGUUCCUAAAAAAAUUUGAUUUUUUCCCAUAGGAAUGCAUGGGUUAGGGUUAGGGUUAGGGUUGGAGCUAGGGUUAGGGUUAGGGUUAGGGUUGGAGUUAGGGUUAGUGUUGGAGCUAGGGUUAGGGUUGGGCUUGGAGCUAGGAUUUUUCUGAGUGCAAUGAACCAACUCCCGAGUCUCUAGGACGUUCCUAAAAAAAUUUGAUUUUUUCCCAUAGGAAUGCAUGGGUUAGGGUUAGGGUUAGGGUUGGAGCUAGGGUUAGGGUUAGGGUUAGGGUUGGAGUUAGGGUUAGUGUUGGAGCUAGGGUUAGGGUUGGGCUUGGAGCUAGGAUUUUUCUGAGUGCAAUGAACCAACUCCCGAGUCUCUAGGACGUUCCUAAAAAAAUUUGAUUUUUUCCCAUAGGAAUGCAUGGGUUAGGGUUAGGGUUAGGGUUAGGGUUAGGGUUAGGGUUAGGGUUAGGGUUAGGGUUGGAGUUAGGGUUAGUGUUGGAGCUAGGGUUAGGGUUGGGCUUGGAGCUAGGAUUUUUCUGAGUGCAAUGAACCAACUCCCGAGUCUCUAGGACGUUCCUAAAAAUUUUUUAUUUUUU